GUGUUCGUAGAAAGGAGAGACGGUUGGCAUCUCCCUUGACAGGGAUGGGAACGGCUUUCGGGCUUACCAUUUUAACACAUGCGGUUAAGGCUACCCGCUUUCAGCGGAUCUUACCCAAAAUUUUU